rnacentral:rRNA from 1 species
AUUGAACGCCGGCGGCAUGCUUUACAUAUGCAAGUCGAACGGUAACAGGCCGCAAGGUGCUGACGAGUGGCGAACGGGUGAGUAAUGCAUCGGAACGUGCCCAGUCGUGGGGGAUAACGCAGCGAAAGCUGUGCUAAUACCGCAUACGAUCUAUGGAUGAAAGCGGGGGACCGUAAGGCCUCGCGCGAUUGGAGCGGCCGAUGUCAGAUUAGCUAGUUGGUGGGGUAAAGGCCCACCAAGGCGACGAUCUGUAGCUGGUCUGAGAGGACGACCAGCCACACUGGGACUGAGACACGGCCCAGACUCCUACGGGAGGCAGCAGUGGGGAAUUUUGGACAAUGGGCGCAAGCCUGAUCCAGCAGUGCCGCGUGCAGGAAGAAGGCCUUCGGGUUGUAAACUGCUUUUGUACGGAACGAAACGGUCUGGGUUAAUACCCUGGGCUAAUGACGGUACCGUAAGAAUAAGCACCGGCUAACUACGUGCCAGCAGCCGCGGUAA